rnacentral:rRNA from 1 species
UGAUCCAGCAAUGCCGCGUGAGUGAUGAAGGCCUUCCGGGUUGUAAAGCUCCUUUUUGCCAGGGACGAUGAUGACGGUACCUGGAGAAUAAGCCCCGGCUAACUUCGUGCCAGCAGCCGCAGUAAUACGAAGGGGGCAAGCGUUGUUCGGAAUUACUGGGCGUAAAGGGCGCGUAGGCGGCUUAUCAAGUCAGGCGUGAAAUUUCCGGGCUCAACCUGGGGGCUGCGCUUGAUACUGAUUGGCUUGAAUGCGGGAGAGG